UACGUAGGGUGCAAGCGUUGUCCGGAAUUAUUGGGCGUAAAGAGCUCGUAGGCGGUCUGUCGCGUCGGCUGUGAAAACCCGGAGCUCAACUCCGGGCCUGCAGUCGAUACGGGCAGACUGGAGUUCGGCAGGGGAGACUGGAAUUCCUGGUGUAGCGGUGAAAUGCGCAGAUAUCAGGAGGAACACCGGUGGCGAAGGCGGGUCUCUGGGCCACUACUGACGCUGAGAAGCGAAAGCAUGGGGAGCGAACAGG
rnacentral:rRNA from 1 species